rnacentral:rRNA from 1 species
UUUAUGGAGAGUUUGAUCCUGGCUCAGGAUGAACGCUGGCGGCGUGCCUAAUACAUGCAAGUCGAGCGAACGGACGAGAAGCUUGCUUCUCUGAUGUUAGCGGCGGACGGGUGAGUAACACGUGGAUAACCUACCUAUAAGACUGGGAUAACUUCGGGAAACCGGAGCUAAUACCGGAUAAUAUUUCGAACCGCAUG